GGGCACAUGGUGUAGUUGGUUAUCACGCCCGUGGAGCGUGUGGGCGGUCCCUGGUUCAAUUCCGAGUGUGUCCA
rnacentral:tRNA from 1 species